GGCUGGGGGCGCGCGCGCGCGCCCGUGCCCGGACCGUCCGCCGCGGCCGCUCGCUCUCCCGUCUCCCGCCUCGUGCCACCGUCUGGGUCAGCCCCCUCGGCCCUUCCGCCCGCCUCCAGCCGCCGGCCCGCAGAAGCAGACCUGGAGAUAAGGAUUCAGGUGCAAGUGGCAUAUAUGCAAGGUGACUCCAUGAAGCACUGGUGAGAGAGUGGAGAAGUGAAGCAAGGAAAGAAAGACGGUCAGAGGGGCAUUCAUGAGUGUUUAGCACCGUGGACAGCCCAUUGGAGAACUCUGGGGGUGCCUCAGCAUUACUGCCCUCUUUCCCUGAGGGCUAAGAGGCUCAUCUUGUAUAUAUCCUGCCCCAGAUCUGGAAGCAGCCAUUUCUCUUCAGUUCCUUACAGUUGGGAGUGUUGUUUGGAGACCACGAAAUCUGGAUACAGGGAUUCCUGAUUGUCAUGAAGCUCGCCUCCAAGAGUGAUUCUGGUACCCAGGAUCCUUGCUCCUUGUGACUCUGCCACCUUACAUCAUGGCUUUGAAGAUCCUCAUGUUUAUCUGCAUCAAUCUAGAAGAGUAAAAAUCAUGAAGAAUAUCCAAGAAGAUUUUUAUAAGCCAAGUCUGGAAGUGGCACACAUCCCUUCUGCUCACAUUCUAUUGGUUAGAACCCAGCUCAUGGCUACACCUACCAGAAAGGGUCUGGGAAGUAUAGUCUAGCUGUUGGUACAGGAAGAUAAACAAGCUUUGAGGAACACAGAGCAGUCUCCCAAUCUUGUACAAAGCUGAGAAAUUGUCACAAUUACGUGAUUUUUAGCCCCAUGCAAGAGCUUGAGAAUGGGAAUAAACUGAGGACCAAUUUUAUAAAAUA